AUUGGGGAAUUUUCCGCAAUGGGCGAAAGCCUGACGGAGCAACGCCGCGUGAGGGAUGAAGGCCUCUGGGCUGUAAACCUCUUUUAUCAAGGAAGAAGAUCUGACGGUACUUGAUGAAUAAGCCACGGCUAAUUCCGUGCCAGCAGCCGCGGUAAUACGGGAGUGGCAAGCGUUAUCCGGAAUUAUUGGGCGUAAAGCGUCCGCAGGCGGUCUUGUAAGUCUGUCGUUAAAGCGUGGAGCUUAACUCCAUUUCAGCGAUGGAAACUGCAAGACUAGAGUGUGGUAGGGGCAGAGGGAAUUCCCGGUGUAGCGGUGAAAUGCGUAGAUAUCGGGAAGAACACCAGUGGCGAAGGCGCUCUGCUGGGCCAUAACUGACGCUCAUGGACGAAAGCCAGGGGAGCGAAAGGGAUUAGAUACCCCUGUAGUCAAU
rnacentral:rRNA from 1 species